rnacentral:rRNA from 1 species
GGAGUUUGAUCCUGGCUCAGGAUGAACGCUGGCGGCGUGCUUAAUACAUGCAAGUCGAACGGAGGAUUUAGCAAUAGAUUCUCAGUGGCGAACGGGUGAGUAACGCGUGGGUGACCUGCCCCGAAGUGCGGGAUAACAGUUCGAAAGGACUGCUAAUACCGGAUGUGGUCGUGCUGGUUAGAGUGGCAUGACUAAAGGCGAAAGCCGCUUUGGGAGGGGCCUGCGUCCCAUCAGCUAGUUGGUGAGGUAAAAGCCCACCAAGGCGACGACGGGUAGGGGACCUGAGAGGGUGACCCCCCACACUGGCACUGAAACACGAGCCAGACACCUACGGGUGGCAGCAGUAGGGAAUAUUGCACAAUGGGCGAAAGCCUGAUGCAGCAACGCCGCGUGCACGAUGAAGGCCUUCGGGUCGUAAAGUGCUUUUCGGGGAGAUGAGCAAGGACAGUAUCCCCGGAAUAAGGCUCGGCUAACUACGUGCCAGCAGCCGCGGUAAAACGUAGGAGCCAAGCGUUAUCCGAAUUCACUGGGCGUAAAGCGCGUGCAGGCGGCUUGGUAAGUUGGGGUGAAAUCUCCUGGCUCAACUAGGAGAGGACGUCCAAUACUGUCGAGCUAGAGGGCGAUAGAGGGAGGUGGAAUUCCGGGUGUAGUGGUGAAAUGCGUAGAUAUCCGGAGGAACACCAGUGGCGAAAGCGGCCUCCUGGGUCGCACCUGACGCUCAGACGCGAAAGCUAGGGGAGCGAACGGGAUUAGACACCCCGGUAGUCCUAGCCGUAAACGAUGUGAACUUGGCGUCGGUGGGGUAAAAUCCGUCGGUGCCGAAGCAAACGCGAUAAGUUCACCGCCUGGGGACUACGGCCGCAAGGUUAAAACUCAAAGGAAUUGACGGGGGCCCGCACAAGCAGCGGAGCGUGUGGUUUAAUUCGAUCUACGCGAAGAACCUUACCCGGGUUUGACAUACAGGUGGUAGGGAAGAGAAAUCGGACCGACCCGCAAGGGAGCCUGAACAGGUGCUGCAUGGCUGUCGUCAGCUCGUGUCGUGAGAUGUCCGGUUAAGUCCGGUAACGAGCGCAACCCUCGUCGUAUGUUACAAGUGUCAUACGAGACUGCCAGUAUAAAGCUGGAGGAAGGUGGGGAUGACGUCAAGUCAGCAUGGCCUUUAUGUCCGGGGCUACACACACGCUACAAUGGCCAGAACAAUAGGUAGCAAGACCGCGAGGUGGAGCCAAUCCUAAAAUUUGGUCUCAGUUCAGAUUGCAGGCUGCAACUCGCCUGCAUGAAGUCGGAGUUGCUAGUAACCGCGCGUCAGCAUUAGUGCGGUGAAUACGUUCCCGGGCCUUGUACACACCGCCCGUCACGUCAUGGGAGCUGACAACACCUGAAGCCGGUAUCCUAACCGCAAGGAGGGAGCCGUCGAAGGUGGGGUUGGUGACUGGGACGAAGUCGUGACAAGGUA